AAACUGGCCUUGCUGGCCGGUCGCGCCGAAAGCCACAAAGGUCUGCGGUUCGCGGUAGACAUAGAUCGUGUCAUCCGGAUGAACGUAAACGUUGUUGGCCGGCUCGUAGACGAGUGCGCCAAACGGCACGGUCGCCCGCUUUCCUUUGCGCUCCAGCAUCACCCACGUGUCGAAGCCCUGUCCCUUCGGACCACCCGCACGGGUUAUGGCGUCGAGCAGAUGCUCGCCAGCAGCAUUCGCCGGGAAACGCGCCGGGUUAUUUACUUCGCCGAGAACACUGAUAAGUGAGGUUCGCUGAUCGAUCAGG
rnacentral:misc_RNA from 1 species